rnacentral:rRNA from 1 species
UCCUACGGGUGGCUGCAGUGGGGAAUCUUGCGCAAUGGGCGAAAGCCUGACGCAGCAACGCCGCGUGAGCGAAGAAGGCCUUCGGGUUGUAAAGCUCUGUCAGGAGGGACGAAGCCACUCGGGUGAAUAGCCCAGAGGGUGACGGUACCUCCAGAGGAAGCCCCGGCUAACUACGUGCCAGCAGCCGCGGUAAUACGUAGGGGGCGAGCGUUGUCCGGAAUCAUUGGGCGUAAAGCGCGUGUAGGCGGCUUGCCAAGUCCGAUGUGAAAUCUCGGGGCUCAACCCCGAAACUGCAUUGGAAACUGGCUCGCUAGAGUCCGGAAGAGGAGAAUGGAAUUCCUGGUGUAGCGGUGAAAUGCGCAGAUAUCAGGAAGAACACCGGUGGCGAAGGCGGUUCUCUGGGACGGUACUGACGCUGAGACGCGAAAGCGUGGGGAGCAAACAGGAUUAGAUACCCGGGUAGUCC